GCUUCUUGUGGCUGAGAUGAUUUGUGGCAUUCUAGAGUUGGGAUUCUCCAAGGCAGCCACUCCAGCACCUCUUCCCCAUAUGACAACCCCAUCAACCUGGCUGAGCUGACUCCUGGCCCGACAGUGAUGUUCCAUCUGCUGAUGCUUAUGCCAUCUCUCAACUCCCAGCCCUGAAGCCCGGCUCACCCGGCCUCCCUGCUCACCUCUAAGCAGGCUUCCUUGCCCUUGUUCCUCUGCACAGGUGUGGGCCCCUUACUCCCACUGUCACUUAUUUCUCUAUAUCUCCACUGUCCAAGGUAGUAGCCACUGGCCAUGUGUAGCUGCUAAACACUUGAAGUGUGGCCAGUCUGAAUCAAGAGUGCAAAGUACAUACUGGAAUUCAAAGAGUGUGAAAAAAAUCAAUGUGAAAGUCCACGCCUGGUCCUGAAUGAUUAUUGUGUUCUGCAGUAACUUGGGUGUUACCCUAGCUCGGAUAACAUGGCGUGGCUCCAGGUGUAGGCGUCACUCACCUGCUCCUUUGUAAUCCUACCCUUUUGCUCUUUUAGGGAUAGAAUGUUCCAUGGAACCUCCCCUUGUGGGAUCCCCAUAUAAGAAUAAAGAAUUCUAGUGUCUCUCUCUCUUUCCAUGGAUCUUUAAGGAGAGAGCCGUCACGGAUUUUGAAAAGGGAGGUCUUGAGCUCUCAGAGGACAAAGCAGGGAUCCUGUCCACUCCAUAAGAAAAGCACAGAAUGACAGUUGGUGGGAAUAAAAUACACUUCCUAAGGGAGCUUGGUAAUGUAUGCUGAUGGCCUUAUUCCAUGCUGAACAUGUCCAGAGAAGUAAAAUAACCUCCUUACUCACCAUGUCACACAGCUGGUUACAGAUAGAGAUGGACUUACACUGGAGACCUCCGGACAAAUCUGUGCAGACCACAGAAGUAAAACUCCUCCUAAGCUCUUCAUUUUUCAGGCUACAUUAGAAAUAGAUGGUCUUGUUUUAAGUGCCAGAUUUUAAGAGAGACUCAAUAAAUACUUUCCAGAUGAGUUAAUGUUGAAAGAAUUACUUUGACAACUUGGAUGAGCUGAGGAAGAAUGAUGGAGAGAUCUGGGAGCUGUGUCAUUUGAGAACCGGAUGGAUCUGUUGGAAUCCUGGAGAAGGGACAGUGAUGGGACACAGGGCCACACUCUUCCCAUAUGUCUUUCCUUGCCCACCAAAACUUAGCUCCAAGCAGGCACGCCACAAAUAUUUGUUGUGUGAGUGAAUUAAUUGUCUUACUUAGAGAAGAGAGGGCUAGUUUAUUACAGGCUGCUCCAGAAAGCUCAAUAAUAGCUAAUAAGUAGGAAAG